rnacentral:rRNA from 1 species
GGAUUAGAUACCCUGGUAGUCCACGCUGUAAACGAUGAUAACUCGGUGCUGGCGAUAUACGGUCAGUGCCCAAGCGAAAGUGAUAAGUUAUCCACCUGGGGAGUACGAUCGCAAGGUUGAAACUCAAAGGAAUUGACGGGGGCCCGCACAAGCGGUGGAGCAUGUGGUUUAAUUCGAUGAUACGCGAGGAACCUUACCUGGGCUUAAAUGCAUAAUGACCGAUUGGGAAACCAAUCUUUCUUCGGACAGAAUGCAAGGUGCUGCAUGGUUGUCGUCAGCUCGUGUCG